rnacentral:rRNA from 1 species
GACGAACCGUGCAAACGUUGUUCGGAAUCACUGGGCUUAAAGGGCGCGUAGGCGGGCGAGCAAGUCCGGGGUGAAAUCUUUCGGCUUAACCGGAAAAGUGCCUUGGAUACUGCUUGUCUGGAGGAAGGUAGGGGCAGGUGGAACUUCUGGUGGAGCGGUGAAGUGCGUUGAUAUCAGAAGGAACGCCGGUGGCGAAAGCGACCUGCUGGACCUUUUCUGACGCUGAGGCGCGAAAGCUAGGGGAGCAAACGGG